rnacentral:rRNA from 1 species
AUACGGAGGGUGCAAGCGUUACUCGGAAUCACUGGGCGUAAAGCGCGCGCAGGCGGCUUGAUAAGUUGGAUGUGAAAGCCUACGGCUCAACCGUAGAACUGCAUCCAAAACUGUCAAGCUAGAGUCUGGGAGGGGAAGAUGGAAUUAGUUGUGUAGGGGUAAAAUCCGUAGAGAUAACUAGGAAUACCAAAAGCGAAGGCGAUCUUCUGGAACAGUACUGACGCUGAGGCGCGAAAGCGUGGGGAGCAAACGGGAUUAGAUACCCCGGUAGUCC